GCGGUAUGAUGAGCACAUGUCAGCCGACUGACUGUCACUGGAGAGUGAUAAGAUCCAACUCUGACCUCAGCAAAGCC
ensembl:snoRNA